ensembl:rRNA 5S_rRNA 5S ribosomal RNA
AUAAUUAGCCAUAUCACCCAGCAGCCCAAGACCGGUUACUCACUGAAGCUAAGCAGGGCUGAGCCUGGUCAGUACCUGCAUGAUAGACCACUUGGGAACACUAGGUUGCUGUUGAAA